CCUCAAGUAGUAAUCUUGGAAAAUAUUAAAUUUAAGAUCACAUUGAGUAAAAAGCUGCAUCAGCAAUAAGCAACUAUGUUUUCAGCUAUAAAUUAAGAUCUAUUAGUUUUUGUUUAUUACUGACCAAUGCUGCUUUUCUUUGAAGUGUAUGUUUUCAAUGCUAUAUACUUCUGAAGUUUACAGUAUACUUUGACACACAGGGUGCAUCUGAGGGCAAUAGUUUAUUCAUUUAUUUUUUCCUUGACAGAAACAAGCAGUUUAAAAAGGAAACACAGAUAAACUCUGAUGAAAGUGGAAACUUCUCAGAACCAGGAGAACAGAUUUCUGUAGCAAGAUCACUAGCGGAGACAAUAUUCCUGUGACCACUCGAGCCUGUUAAAAUUUUCCAAGAGAAAGUAGAGGACGCAUGUACCUCCCUGAACUCAACAAGAAAGGUCAAGGAUAAACAGCACGAUGCAUGAAGUUCCUUUGUGCUCAACAUGUUCAGGUUAGGAAAAAUGUGCUAACAUGAUUAUG
rnacentral:lncRNA from 1 species